UACGUAGGGUGCAAGCGUUGUCCGGAAUUAUUGGGCGUAAAGAGCUCGUAGGCGGUUUGUUGCGUCGGCUGUGAAAACUCGAGGCUCAACCUCGAGACGUCGGUGGAAACCGUAUGGCUAGAGUCCGGAAGAGGAGAGUGGAAUUCCUGGUGUAGCGGUGAAAUGCGCAGAUAUCAGGAAGAACACCUAUGGCGAAGGCAGCUCUCUGGGACGGUACUGACGCUGAGACGCGAAAGCGUGGGGAGCGAACAGG
rnacentral:rRNA from 1 species